rnacentral:rRNA from 1 species
UUCCGGUUGAUCCUGCCGGACCCCACUGCUAUCGGGAUGGGACUAAGACAUGCUAGUCGUGUGUCUCCAAGCCAUGGUGGAGACGCGGCGCACAGCUCAGUAACACGUGGCUAACCUGCCCUUAGGACAGGGACAACCCCGGGAAACUGGGGCUAAUCCCUGAUAGGUGAGGGUUCCUGGAAUGGGUCCUCGCCGAAAGGGCGCCUAGACCAUGCUUUUAGGUGCUGCCCAAGGAUGGAGCCGCGGCCGAUCAGGUUGUUGGUGAGGUAACGGCUCACCAAGCCUUUAACCGGUACGGGCCGUGAGAGCGGGAGCCCGGAGAUGGGUACUGAGACAAGGACCCAGGCCCUACGGGGCGCAGCAGUCGCGAAAACUCCGCAAUACGCGAAAGCGUGACGGGGCUAUCCCGAGUGCCGUCCGCUGAGGAUGGCUUUUCCCUAGUGUAUAAAGCUGGGGGAAUAAGGAGAGGGCAAGCCUGGUGUCAGCCGCCGCGGUAAUACCAGCUCUCCGAGUGGUGGGGAUGCUUAUUGGGCCUAAAGCAUUCGUAGCCGGUUGGGCAAGUCCUCUGUUAAAUCCAACGAUUCAAUCGUUGGACUGCAGGGGAUACUGUCCGGCUAGGGGGCGGGAGAGGCCGACGGUAUUCUCGGGGUAGGGGCGAAAUCCUAUAAUCCCGGGAGGACCACCAGUGGCGAAGGCUGUCGGCUAGAACGCGCCCGACGGUGAGGGAUGAAAGCUGGGGGAGCGAACCGGAUUAGAUACCCGGGUAGUCCCAGCUGUAAACGAUGCAGGCUAGGUGUUGGCGCGGCUACGUGCCGCUCCAGUGCCGCAAGGAAGCCGUUAAGCCUGCCGCCUGGGAAGUACGG